rnacentral:lncRNA from 1 species
AUUUAGAAAAAAAUGAAUGCCAAUAUCAAGUCUUUAAGUUGGAUCGCUGACAACUACAAGGCAAUGUAAUACAUGAAAUCCAGGUAAGAUAUUAUUUGGUCCCAUGUUUUACAAAGACACUGACUUUAAGGAACUGCUAAAAUUUAGUUAUAGGUCAAACGUAUUCCCUGAUCAGUAAGAUAAUCAAGGGCCGGUCCAAUAAAUGAAACACAAUCACUCAACCAAAAGAAGGAAAACCUGCAGAAGUUCAUUUAACAGCCAACAUAAAACCAUGUUUCCAUGAUUCUCCAGUUCGGGGGAGAGAGUGUACAACAAAGAGAAUUCUCAGGAAAACCAUGCUUUUUUUUUAUACGAAAUGGUGUAAAAGUAAAACAAUUGACUGAAAGAUUUUGUCGUAAGAAAAAAUCAAUUCAGCCAUUUGGGUGCAUAUUCAGAUAAGUUGAUAGAAUUGUGGAUUGUGAUCUCCAAUCUCUCUGUUGAUAUUGAGCCUUUGAAUUAUCACAGGCAUAAAUUUCAUGAAUUUGACAAAGAUAAAAGUUUUGACUAAUUGAUUCUUUUCUGUUCUUAAUAUUCAGAUGCUGGAGAAAACAAUUGAUGAUGGCUCAAGAUACCUGGAGGGUUAAAGAUGCAGAAUACAAGAAUGCGUAGCAUGCCUUUUAGACAACUUAAUUAGGGUUUUGGUAUCGACUUACGGUUACUUUUUUUUUUUUUUCCUUGUGAGAAAAUUUGGCUGAAGCUUUUUGUGAUGUGAUGUGUAUACGUGUAAGCUUUACUAGGAAGUUGACUGGGCACCUAAUCGAUUAGUUAUUUAAUAAUGCUUGGGUUGUAGUUCUACAUAAUCACAUCAUCAAUUGUUUUCUCCACUACAGAAAACAAUAAAUUCAAUGAUGUGAUUAUGUAGAACUACAUCAUCAAUUGUUUUCUACAUAAUCUUUUUGUGAUGUGAUGUGAUGUGUCCUCAUACCACUACAGAAAAAAUAAAUUCAAUGAUCUUUUAAAGGAGGGCUUGAACACGCACUAGCUAGGGCAAAAAGAAAAACGAUUGGAUGUUAUUUUAGACAGAUAUUUAGUUUACCCGCGAGCUACGAAGCCUUUUAAUAGACAGUUAUUUCCCGUUUAAAUCACUUAUUUAUAUAUUUAAUGUGCUGUUAAGAAAUUUUGAAGCUAUGGUAUGCUUGUUUAUUUGAUAUAUUUAAUUUUUUUUUUUGGUAGUUUGAUACUUUCCUUGUUCCUUUGGAUCUGUAAGAGAUCUGCCUGCAAGCCAUUGAAUCUCUCUCUCUCUCUCUCUCACCUUCUCCUGUGGCAACUUUUUUCCUGAAGUUUUGGCUGAGAUUUUUUGUUUGCGCUAAAAACAAAAUAAAAAAGAUACAGCCUUCUGGAUGUCAAGUCAGACAAUUAUUGUCAAGUCAGACAAUUAUUGUUUGAUGCGUUGAUUUUCGAUGUAAAAAUAAUUAAAUUUAAAAACUAUAAGAUAGAUGUUGAUUCCCCAACAUAUAAAUUUGAUUGGGGUUUUAGAAAUAAUUUUUUUAUUUAAUUAAAUAAUAAUAAAAAUAAACACGCACAUAAAAGUGAUUCAAUAAAACUUAAGAAAAAAAAUCAUAAUUCAAUUAUCUCUCCAUAAUUGCAUAAAAAACAAAAAUAAUAAAUUUAAAAAAUUAUAUAAAUAAUUUAUAAUGAAAACAUCAAGAAAAAGGAUAUUCUAAUCUUAUUCAAUAUUAAUGAACAAAUUAUCAUAAAAAUUCUGCAUAUCAAAUUGAUACAUGAUUAUUCGUAGAACCAUCGAUAAUAUUAUUAUAAAAAAAUUUAAAUUUUAAACUGAAAUGAGUAAUCCAUAUAAAAGAAAUUUAAAUUAAAUUGUAAAGAUAAAAAUAAAAUUAAAAAAAUAUAUAUAGCAAUUAAAAAAUUCAAAUUUGAUAUAAUUAACCUUUAACAAGAUGAUUUUUAAUUUCUUGUAACUUUUGAAAUGUAUUUUUUACCUAAAAUAAAAGAAAAGUUAUUUGUUGAAAGCCAAGCUAUAUUUUUUUAUAUUAAAAAAUGUUUUUUAUUAAAUAAAUUUUUUAAUAAUAAACAAACAUAUAAAAAAUUAAAAAAUAAUUUUCAAAUAACCACGGAAUAAACGGUGACGAAGUUUUUUUCUUUUAACAACAACAAUUAAAAUAAGUUCUCUAUAUGGAUGAUGAAGGAGAAUAAAUUAUGAUGAGUAAUGAGAGGCGGGACUAAUUUUGUAUUUUAAAAAUUAAUUUAUAACUAAUUUUGAAAAGAAAUUGCGACUUGAAAAAACUAAUUUUUGUAUUUUAAAAAUAUUUAUAAAAAAAAUUUAAAUUUUUUUAUUUUUGUUUUAAAUAAAUAUUUUUUUAAAGUUUUUAAAUUAUUUUAAUAUGCUAAUAUCAAUUAUGAUUUUUAAAAACUAAAAAGAUAUUAUUUUAAUAUAUUUUUAAAUAAAAAAUACUUUAAAAAUAAUCACAUAUACACUUUUAAAUACACAAUUCUUGUCGGCAGCAAGCCCUCUAGAAUAGUUGAAACAUAAAAACCAAGGACAGGAGGUGGGACCGUUGGGAAAUAAAGGGAAAGCAAGGGGAAUGAGAGAGAGGGCAAAACGCAUAAAAAGCAAAUUGCUUUUCAAAAACUGAAUUCCAACUUUAGUUUUGUACUGGGAUCCACAUAAAUAAAAAACAUGGUUUGUGUUAACCAAACACUAUAUUGCAUAUUUUCAUUUCAACCGCGACCGCUGCAGCAUAUCCAAACAGCCACUUAGCUGGAGAAGACAAUUUAUGAUGGCUAAAGAUACCAGUAGGGCUAAAGAUGCAGAAUAAAAUAUUGCGUAGCAUGCAGUUGAGACAAGUUAGGGGGAAAGCCAUUGCAUUUUUGGUAUCAAAACUGAGGAAUCAACACUAAUCAUAAUCUUUAAUCCAACAAUGGGGCGGUUACUUUUUUUUUUUAUGGGUCUUGUAGUCUAAAAAUAAUUAUAAAAUACCUAAGUUUUUUAUAUAUAUAAUAAAAUAAGAUCGAUGGGAAAAAUGGAAAAGGAUACAGCAUUAAAACCCAAAUGAGGAUAUUUAAUGUUCGGGUCAAUGUUGAGUAACGAGUAGUUGCCUGCUCCAUGUUAGAGGCUACUUAUUGUCUUCUGUUUUAAAUUUAUGAUCUAUGCUUUGUUGUGCUGCCUAACUCUCAUUAGAAUAAAUUUUCUUCCCUUUCUCUAACCGGCUAGAAAAGAGAGAGGCUGUUGUGUGUGUGUGUGUACCCUUUUCAUUUUAGAUUAUGAGGUGUGACAAAUGUUUUUUUUGGUGUUAUAUAUUAAUGUGCAGACAGCAUCAUAUGAUCCAAGAAGUAAUAUGCUGUCGGGAAGUGUUUGGAAUGAAAUUUUCAAAAAUUUGAAUUUUUUUUUUAUGUAUUUAGAUUGUUUAAAUAUAUUGAUAUUAAAAUUAUUUUUUUAAUAUAUUUUUAAAUAAAAAAUACUUUAAAAAAAAUCAUUAUCAUAAUCUUAAAAAAAAAUAUUAGGAAUUUAGAAAUUUAUAUGGAUUGCUGCCUAUGGUACGACAUUAACUAAUAGCAGGUACUUAGGCACCUAGACCAUUGGAAUUUGAUCAAUCAUUCAGUAUAUUUCAAGAAUCGAAACAUGAGAAAAAGCAAAUCAAGAAAAAAGAACGCAUAAAAAGCCGUGCAUAAAUUAAAUGUUUGAAGCAUUCUGUUGAAUAAAGUGCAAAAAUGUUAAUGGCAGGGAGGGAGUAGGUCAAACGUAUUCCGUGAUCAGUAAGAUAAUCAAGGGCCGGUCCAAUAAAUGAAACACUAUCACUCAACCAAAAGAAGGAAAACCUGCAGAAGUUCAUUUAACAGCCAACAUAAAACCAUGUUUCCAUGAUUCUCCAGUUUGGGGGAGAGAGUGUACAACAAAGAGAAUUCUCAGGAUCCAUACUUUUUCACUAAGUAAAGUAAGCCAGAAGCAUACUAACAAGCAGAAUCACCAUCCAGCACAUAUCAAAACCAUA